CGAUUAAGCCAUGCAAGUCGAGAGGUUUCUGACCUCGGCGUACUGCUCAGUAACACGUGGACAAUCUGCCCUGGAGAGGAGGAUAUCCCCGGGAAACUGGGAUUAAUACUCCAUAGUUCGUCUUAACUGGAAUGUUAUUCGAACGAAAGAUCCGUCGCUCCAGGAUGAGUCUGCGGCCGAUUAGGUAGUUGUUGGGGUAACGGCCCAACAAGCCUUUCAUCGGUACGGGUUGUGGGAGCAAGAGCCCGGAGAUGGAUUCUGAGACACGAAUCCAGGCCCUACGGGGCGCAGCAGGCGCGAAAACUUUACCAUGCGGGCAACCGUGAUAAGGAAACCCCGAGUGCCAGCACAGGCUGGCUGUCCGCCAGUUUAAAUAACUGGUGAAGAAAGGGCCGGGCAAGACCGGUGCCAGCCGCCGCGGUAAUACCGGCGGCUCGAGUGGUGGCCGCUAUUACUGGGCUUAAAGGGUCCGUAGCUUGAUAACUGGGUCCCUUGAGAAAUCCGCCAGCUCAACUGGCGGGCGUUCAGGGGGAACUUGUUUUCUAGGGACCGGGAGAGGUGAGGGGUACUGCCGGGGUAGGAGUGAAAUCCUGUAAUCCCGGUGGGACCACCUAUGGCGAAGGCAUCUCACCAGAACGGGUCCGACAGUGAGGGACGAAAGCUGGGGGAGCAAACCGGAUUAGAUACCCGGGUAGUCCCAGCUGUAAACUAUGUGCGUUAGGUGUGUCAGUGACCACGUGUCACUGAGGUGCCGAAGGGAAACCGUGAAACGCAUCGCCUGGGGAUUACGGUCGCAAGGCUGAAACUUAAAGGAAUUGGCGGGGGAGCA
rnacentral:rRNA from 1 species